rnacentral:misc_RNA from 1 species
UCCCGGUUGCUCCGGGCAGUCUCGCGUGAAAAAUACAACACGCGACGAGGGUUGCGCUCGUUGCGGGACUUAACCCAACACCUCACGGCACGAGCUGACGACAGCCAUGCAGCAUCUGUGAACCGGCCCCGAAGGGAAGCCUGGUUUCCCAGGCGGUCCGGAACAUGUCAAGCCCUGGUAAGGUUCUUCGCGUAGCUUCGAAUUAAACCGCACGCUCCGCUGCUUGUGCGGGCCCCCGCCAAUUCCUUUGAGUUUUAGCCUUGCGGCCGUAGUCCCCAGGCGGAGUACUUAUCGCGUUAGCUUCGCUACACAGGGAGUCGAUACCCCAUACAGCUAGUACUCAUCGUUUACGGCGUGGACUAC